UCCCCUACACCAGAAUAGAAUCACCAUUCCCCCUCUCCAGCAUACCCGAUACCCAAACACACCUCUCGGCCACCGCUGCCGAUAGCUUCCCCGCUCUCUCUGAACUCUACACUGUCAAAUUGUUGGAUAACCGGUCUCCUUCCCCGUCGCUAAAUUUCUGCGAGAAGCUACAGGCAUCAUCUCAUCAUAAGUAACAAGCCUGAGAUGGCGUUCCUCUCUCAGAAGCUUGUAGGAUUUUGUGGUUUUUGGUCCUCUCAGCUGUUCAAUGCUCCCAUUGCUCUUCAUCCUUGAGAUUCCACAUGAAAGCCUCUUCAGGAAGUAUUUCUUUUUUUUCUUCAUCUGCCUAUGCUACAUAAAAUUUAAAUCCAUUUCAUUAUCUGAUGUCUUCAUAAUUGUGCAUUUCUUUUCAGCAAUGUGAAAGUGCAGAAGUUAGCUUAUCUUUAAGCCACAAUUGUUUAAUAUAUUUUGUUACAGAACUCUAUGUAAUAUUAACUUCUUUCAGUUCAUAAAUGUUUUCCUGACCGGUCAAGUAUGAUCCAUGUUGACUUUAAGUUUUCAGCCGACCUUAACGCAACUGUCUUCGGUGAAGGUCCUGCAGCCACUUCUAUUUUAAAUUCAACCUGAUCAGAUACAUGGAAAACAUCUUAUCAGCUCUUUAACUUCAAGAGACGAAAACAUGAAUACUUACAGAGCUUUUUGCACCCCUGCCCCUGAGUAUCAACGUAAUGGAGAACUGCAAGAAGCGUGAGUGUAUCUCCAGCCCUUAGCGAUAAGCCAUCAAGGGCCCAGGUGAGCGCACUGGGGCAGACUCCUUCAGAUGCAUCUUGAAUCACCACCACUUUCUGUCGAAAAGGACAUUAAAACAAGAAAUUUUCAGAUCAUAACUAAGCUUUUAUGUGUCUAUUCCAAACUAUGUUUGGCAGAUUCACCACGACAGUCCUUGAAUAAAUCAUCCAACACAUUCUUUUCUUUAUUUUUUGUAAGC